UACAGAGGGUGCAAGCGUUGUCCGGAAUCACUGGGCGUAAAGGGCGCGUAGGCGGCUCAUGAAGGCUGUGGUGAAAGCCCGGGGCUCAACCCCGGGUCGGCCGUGGCAACUGUCGAGCUGGAGCACUGUAGAGGCAGGUGGAAUUCCGGGUGUAGCGGUGGAAUGCGUAGAGAUCCGGAAGAACACCGGUGGCGAAGGCGGCCUCUGGGCAGUGGCUGACGCUGAGGCGCGACAGCGUGGGGGAGCAAACAGG
rnacentral:rRNA from 1 species